rnacentral:rRNA from 1 species
UACGUAGGGGGCAAGCGUUGUCCGGAAUCAUUGGGCGUAAAGGGCGCGUAGGCGGAUAGUUAAGUCUGGUGUGAAAGAUCAGGGCUCAACCCUGAGAGUGCACCGGAAACUGGUUAUCUUGAGGACAGGAGAGGAAAGUGGAAUUCCUAGUGUAGCGGUGAAAUGCGUAGAUAUUAGGAGGAACACCAGUGGCGAAGGCGACUUUCUGGACUGUAACUGACGCUGAGGCGCGAAAGCGUGGGGAGCAAACAGG